UGGGGAAUAUUGCACAAUGGGCGCAAGCCUGAUGCAGCCAUGCCGCGUGUGUGAAGAAGGCCUUCGGGUUGUAAAGCACUUUCAGCGGGGAGGAAGGCGUUAAGGUUAAUAACCUUGGCGAUUGACGUUACCCGCAGAAGAAGCACCGGCUAACUCCGUGCCAGCAGCCGCGGUAAUACGGAGGGUGCAAGCGUUAAUCGGAAUUACUGGGCGUAAAGCGCACGCAGGCGGUCUGUCAAGUCGGAUGUGAAAUCCCCGGGCUAAACCUGGGAACUGCAUUCGAAACUGGCAGGCUAGAGUCUUGUAGAGGGGGGUAGAAUUCCAGGUGUAGCGGUGAAAUGCGUAGAGAUCUGGAGGAAUACCGGUGGCGAAGGCGGCCCCCUGGACAAAGACUGACGCUCAGGUGCGAAAGCGUGGGGAGCAAACAGG
rnacentral:rRNA from 1 species